CUUCCUACGAUGCUUGUGUUAGCGCAUGCGCAGUAGAUCUCCGAAAGUAUCGCUGAUCGGAGAGAACGAGGCGCAGACGAACGGCUCGAUCGACUGCGCGAGACGCGAUGAGUAAUACAGGAGAAUCCACAGAACGGGAUCAGACAUGACGGAUGAGCUGAACAGGGCGUCAGCUGAACCGGAGACGAUGAAACCGGAAGAGACUGUGCCGGUUGGAUCAGAUGUUGUUACUGUCAUUGAGGAUAAUGCAGUGGAGAACAGUGCACCUGGAAAGGUGAUGGUUGAGUCGCCACCUGAUUGGCUGAAGCCAAUGGAGGAGGAUGAAGAUGAUGGUGAAGGUGUCAAGAGCAGUGAAUGGAUCACCAGAAAAACCAAUAAUGACGUUCCUAAAGUAAAACGACGCAGAGGUCGGCCUCCGAUUGCCAGAAAUGCUAGACAUGGACUUACUCGUUUAGAUUUCAAGAAAGGAUUGCAUGCAGAUCGCCCUAAAACUAAGACUGUUCGUACUAUACUGGAAAGAACACGUUCAAGUCUCACAUCAGCUACUGCCAUUCCCGUCCCAGAUCCAACCCGCACGCCUGAGGUUUUACCCCGAACACCCCAGAGCAUCAUUCACAACCCGACGUCGACAUCCCAAAGACCCCGACUCAUCCCAAUCUCACCUACAGGGGACAGCAGCCUCUCCAAGAUCCCCAAUGCUGAGUUUCACAGCCCUCCGCGUCUCACGAGGGUCUCGCCGCUCAGUAUUGACACAUCUGUGACACGGAAUUUCAUUCACUCUCCGGCUGUAAAAGUGGGCAAUGUUUCCCAACAGAUCGUUUCCUCUACUGGACCUGGGAAAGAUGGCACUGAGCCGCCCCUUCGACUCUGGCUUUGUCCCUCUAUGGAGCCCAUUAGUCCUACAAAAUCUCAGGAUACAUUCUCAGAUCAGACUGUAAGUUCACCAAAUUUUACGGAGACUACGCGUAAUGGAACAGCGACCCUAAAGGAAAGUCUUCCGUUUCUCAGGUGAACAAAUAUGACUCCUUUUAUACCACUUAGAAAGUCUAU
rnacentral:lncRNA from 1 species